ACAAAUUACCCGAAAUGCAACAGCAUUCGGGAAUUACCAGGCGGGGAAUAGAAAAACACCAUGCGAGAAUUAAUCCUGCGGUAUUUGACAGCUUUACAAAUCUAAAAACAAAAGAAAGAAGUGCGAAACCAUAAUAUUAAGAUUACAGCCAAAGAGCUCCGGAUUUAGCGUAUUUGGAAAAGCCGACAUUUUUGUCUUUUUGAGGAAAGGCAAACCGCGAAUUUGGCCCUCACGCGGGCAUCUUUCAAAGCUAACAUUAGCCGGGAUGCUGGGUUGCUAGCUGAGUGUCUUCUGGAUAAAGUCCAAAUCGCCAGUUGGUGUUAAAUGUGUGCCUCUUAAGACAAAAUGUCUGGCUUUAACUUUGGAUCAGGGACUCUUGGUUCUACCAACACUGGUGGAGGAUUCGCAUUUGGGGCCGCAACCAGUGCACCUGCGGCCAAUACUGGUGGCUUCUCCAUCGGGACUUCUCUGGGUACAGCAGCAGCAACCCUUGCCACCUCCACCAGCACCACCCCAUCUCUUGGUCUCGGAGGAAGUCUCUUUGCUCAGAAACCAACUGGGGGAUUUUCUUUCAACACACCUGCCUCAAGCGCUGCGGCACCCACUGCAGGCCUUACAUUAGGUGCCCCAGCUACUACAGCUGCGUCCACUGGCUUCAGCUUGGCCUUUAACAAGCCCACCGCCUCAGCAACACCCUUCUCCCUCACCACCACUUCCAUUUCCUCAUCAGCCCCUGCGGGGGCAGGUGUAUCAUUUGGCUCUGUCCUGACAUCCGUGGCUCCACAGCAGCCUGCAUCGGCAGGCUUCAGCCUUGGUCUUGGUGGCACAACAACCACCACAGCUGCAACCUCAACAGGCCCAUCACUGGGCGGGAGUCUCUUCGCCAACACUUUGUCUGCAGGUUUGGGUCAGACCACUCUUGGACUAGGAAGCGGGUUAACUUUGGGUUCUCUGUUAGCUGCCUCCACAGCAGUAUCAGCGGCCCCUGCCCCCAGUAUUGGCCUGGGUGGAGUCGACUUCAGUACUUCCUCUGAGAGUAAGAGCGACACUUCUGGAGCCAACGCACAGGACAGUAAAGCUCUGAAAGACGAGAACCUGCCCCCAGUUAUUUGUCAGGAUGUCGAGAAUUUCCAAAAAUUUGUGAAAGAUCAGAAACAGGUUCAGGAAGACAUCAGCAGGAUGUCAUCUAAGGCCAUUUCCAAAGUCCAAGAUGACAUCAAGAGCCUCAAACAGCUGCUCUCUGUCAGUGCCAGCGGUCUGCAGCGCCAAGCCCUGGCCAUCGACAAGCUAAAGCUGGAGACAGCGCAGGAGCUGAAAAAUGCUGACAUAGCACUGCGUACACAAAAGACUCCCCCUGGACUUCAGCAUGAGAACACUGCUCCAUCAGAUUAUUUCCGUAGCCUGGUAGAGCAGUUUGAGGUGCAGUUGCAGCAGUACCGCCAGCAGAUAGAAGAACUGGAGAACCACCUGACAACGCAGAGCAGUGGCUCCCACAUCACUCCUCAAGACCUGACAUUGGCCAUGCAGAAGUUGUACCAGACAUUUGUUGCACAGGCUGCCCAGCUCCAGUCUGUUAAUGAGAAUGUCAAGAUCUUGAAGCACCAGUACCUUUCCUACCGUCGGUCUUUCCUGGAAGACUCAACGGACGUCUUUGAGUCCAAACGGGCAUCCAACAGGAAGUGGCAGAGUACGCCACGAGUCACGACUGGGCCUGCCCCAUUCUCCAGUGUGCCCAACGCUGCAGCGGUUGCCAUGGCAGCCACGUUGACCCAGCAACAACAGCCUACUCCAGGUCUGACUGCCUACAAGUUCUAGAAAGUUUUCCUCUUCUCACCUUAAAAUAAAAGAGGGAGAGGAGAGAAAUGUUUUGGAGAGGACAGGAUAAGUAACUUUUAAAAUGAGGCAAUCGUGGGAGUGGAAAGGUCAAGAGGGGACAGAGAGGAUGAUUAGAAAUAAUAAAAAAUAAAAAAAACCUUAGCUGGUGCCAAGCUAUUGUGUCUGUACUUUCUCUAAUGAAAGAACAGCUAAAGAAAGACGGAGAAAGGCAGAGAUAAGAAAUCUGUUGCUAAACUCCGACAGGAAACCUUUGUGCUGCCUUACCAUCUUGUCAUACAGAAUGUCAUACAAACACUUUCAGUAAUACUAGGGAUACAAUAACCUACUUCACCUAAUUUCUCUCUGUGCCCUAUGUUAGAGCAGGUAUAUGUGGCUGACAUUGAAGAAAUGAUAUAAUGUGAGAGAAAGUCCAGCUAUCUCAAUUUUACUCACAUGAAUCUUGAAGUUAUAAUUAGAGCUUGUACAUUUCAUUUGAGUUAGGACUGUUUUUUAUUUAAUGGAUGCUUGAAAUGAGCCUACUCAAUGAAGGUUGUUAUGUGAUGGGGUUAGAAGCAUUAGACACUUGCUGUGUGAUUACUUGGCAAACAUUCUUUGAAUUGAAUCAGAGUUCUGUUUUUUUAAUUUUUUUUUAUAAGAUUGUGUCUUGGUGGUCAGUUGGUGUAUAAAUGUAUUAUAAUGUAGCUCCUACUCUCUUCAGUCCAACUGUAAUGUAGGGAAGCUCCAAUUGAUUAUUUACUUCACUAAAAAUACAGCAAUGUUGAACAUUUUAAAGAACAAUUUAUAAAAAGAUUGUAUCACCAUUGUUUAUUGAAGCAUGGAGCUUCUCUUGUUCAGGGUCUUUCCGAUAGUAGGCACAGUUUAGGCUAAGACCCAUUUUAAGGCAACCACACUCUAAAUAAUUAAACUAAAGGCCUAAAUCAACUUGUAUUCAAAAAAGCAAGUUCUAUUUAAUAAUUUAUAAAGUUAUGUUCCUUAAAUGUUAAACCAUCAUACCACAUGUGAAAUUCUUUCCAUAUUCUGCAAGUAAAAUCAUAAUUAUUUCUAAAGGUUGUUCUACACACUUACACACAGAUUGGUGUCAAUGGUGUGUUAAGACUAGUGUCCAUAAUGGUUGUUGCCACAUCUCAGAGGUGUUAAACAAAUGUUUGGCCUUUUUUGUAGGCUUUGUUUUGUAGGCCAUUUUAUUGGAAUAUCAGGGCACUCAGUCACUAUGAACAAACAAACUAAGCUCCUCUAUAUUGGCAUGUUUCUGCUGUAUUUUUCUUUCUUCUAAAGUGUAGUGAAGAUGUAAUUCAAAAGUUCAAAAGCAAUAUUUUAAUUGGAUGGGGUUAGGCAGCAUGGUUUGGAAAUUCUCACAUGGAAAAUUAUAGAAACUUCAGCUCAAGUCUGGCUUCAUUUGCAAAUUUCUGCUGCCUCCUUUUUCACAAAAAUCAGCAAAUCUGCUCAGACUGUCACCAGAUACAAUAAUUACCAAUUGUUACCCAGACAAUGAAUGUGGCUUAUUUUUCAGUGUUAUAAUAUUGGAACAUUCAAAUACCUUUGGUCGCUUAGCAGGACAUGCAGUAGCUAUUCUGAAUAAGCAUCUAGCCUUUUUAAGUAUGUGCCAAGUAGGGAAAGGAAUGUUUUACAAUCCAUUGCUUGACCCUAAUUUGGAGAUAAAAGCCCUUCGUAAUCAAGCCCUGUUGCCACAGUAGGUCAAAUCCACUUGUGUGGUAGAAGUGCACGCUACCUUGGUGCCUGCUGAAGAUUUAUUGUGUGUUGCUUUCCAUUUUUUAUUUCAUAUAAAGCCAAAUCAGUUCCUGAUCAUUUUGUUUGAUCAUUUGUUUAUUGUAACUGUGUUCUCUGGGUAAGCUAGCUGUCAAAAAAGGCUGCAUUGCGCUGUAAAUUAUUUAUUAUAAGGUAUAACUUUGCAAGCCUGUUAACCCCAGAGUUGGGUACUAUGUUACAAGAUUGCUUUUUUUUUUUUUUUAAUAUCAAUGAUAAUAUUCAGCAAAGUUCCCAUCCCUCUUUCCAAAUAGUGGUUAUUUACUAGUAUUUGACUCAAGUCACUGAGUAAUUUCAUAGAAUAAGCCUACUCAGAAGUGGUUGUCUUGGUCUCUUCACUAUUUAUUUACCUAUUUAUUUCCAUUUAUUUUUUGUUUGUGUGUAACUUAGUCUGUAAUUGGAAUGGCAGGUGGCCAGUAUCACAGCCCUUACAACACUAACCAUGCGCUUACUUCAGGCAGAUUCUUGUUCGACCCAUAUAUUUGUCGUUGGGUUGAUUGUGUCGGCAAAAAGCUUAAUCAGAUGUGUGCC